rnacentral:snoRNA from 1 species
UGGACUAAUGAUGACAGCGGCUGGGGUAUGAGUCUUAGGAUGAUGAAUUAUCCGGAACUCUGAAGUCCAA